rnacentral:rRNA from 1 species
UACGAAGGGGGCUAGCGUUGCUCGGAAUCACUGGGCGUAAAGGGUGCGUAGGCGGGUUUUUAAGUCAGAGGUGAAAUCCUGGAGCUCAACUCCAGAACUGCCUUUGAUACUGAAAGUCUUGAGUAUGGGAGAGGUGAGUGGAACUGCGAGUGUAGAGGUGAAAUUCGUAGAUAUUCGCAAGAACACCAGUGGCGAAGGCGGCUCACUGGCCCAUUACUGACGCUGAGGCACGAAAGCGUGGGGAGCAAACAG